GCCAGGUGUGGCGGCGCACAUCCGUAAUCCCUACUGCCAGGAGGCUGAUCACUUGAGCUAGGGAUUCUGAGCUACAGUGGGUGGAAAGGAGAUUGGGUGCCCACUCUAAGUCUGGCAUCAGGAUCAUAAGUCCCAAGAGUUGGGGGGGGCUACCAGUUUGCUCAUGGAGGGGCAAACUGACCCAUGUUGGAAAUAAAGCAGAUCAAAGCUCCUAUGCCAAUCAGUAGGGGGAUUAGGAUGAAGGAUAGCCGCUCUAUUUCCAACCUGAAUGUGACAGAGAGACC
ensembl:misc_RNA Metazoa_SRP Metazoan signal recognition particle RNA